rnacentral:rRNA from 1 species
AUUGAACGCUGGCGGCAGGCCUAACACAUGCAAGUCGAACGGUAACAGGAAACAGCUUGCUGUUUCGCUGACGAGUGGCGGACGGGUGAGUAAUGUCUGGGAAACUGCCUGAUGGAGGGGGAUAACUACUGGAAACGGUAGCUAAUACCGCAUAACGUCGCAAGACCAAAGAGGGGGACCCUCGGGCCUCUUUCCAUCGGAUGUGCCCAGAUGGGAGUCGCUUGUUGGUGGGGUAACGGCUCAACAAGGCGACGAUCCCUAGCUGGUCUGAGAGGAUGACCAGCCACACUGGAACUGAGACACGGUCCAGACUCCUACGGGAGGCAGCAGUGGGGAAUAUUGCACAAUGGGCGCAAGCCUGAUGCAGCCAUGCCGCGUGUAUGAAGAAGGCCUUCGGGUUGUAAAGUACUUUCAGCGGGGAGGAAGGGAGUAAAGUUAAUACCUUUGCUCAUUGACGUUACCCGCAGAAGAAGCACCGGCUAACUCCGUG